CGAAGGAAAACUGAUUUAAAACCAAUCACUGACACUUACACACAGCCCCUUAUUCGAGCAUCCCUCCCCAUCUAAGCUUCGUCUUGGACUAUUGAAUCAAUCCUGUCUCCACUACUGCUUUCCUAAGUAACAAACCAAAUCAGAUGAUGGCACGGUCUCCUCUAAUUGACUGAGCUGCACGAGUGUAGCCAUGCCACAGGAUGUGCGACACAAAAAUUGUGCAUCACUGCCAGCUCUUGCCCCACUGCUGCAACCUGGAUGGAGCUCAUCUCACCAAUGCCCUGGCCAAGAAAAAUCCCAACUCCACCAGGAGCCACAAUCCUCAAACCACGCCUGGCUCUGUGAAGCCCUUCAGAACCAAGCCCUGCUGCCCAUGUGGGCUCAGCCCAGCAUCCCUGCAGUGGCACCAUGGGGAUUCUCAACUCUGCCAGGCACUGCUGGAGAAGUAAAAUCAUCAACUCGUGUGGCUGGGCUGGGAACAGGGUCUUUCCAGACUCCAGGGGGAAUUUGUUUCCUGCUCUCCAUAAACUUUGCCAUACUUCACCUCCAAGGCACCAGGAGAACACAGGAAUGGAAACACCUUGAUGCAGGUAUGG